GAACAUUUAUAUUAUCUUGCUCUGCAGAAAUAAAAUAGUUUGCUGAACACUGACAUACAGAGGCUGCCUAAGCAAUUGUGGCUGAUUCCUAAACUGAGUUCAAAAUAUUAUCCAACUGGCCCUGAUACCAUCCCAAGCAGAUUAACUGCUUGUCUGAACUCCUAAAACAGGAAUGAUGAGCCUCUGAGGAGAUGAAGAGACUUCCUGAUUAACUCAUCUGUUUUCGUCUCCUGUAAUAUGAAGUUACCCCUGUGCCCAGAGUGUUCUGCUUCUUGGGAAGAGCUGCAGUUCUCAUUUUACACACAGUGACAGCCAGAAGGUCAGGUCAACAACUGAAGUGCUACAGGCUGAGCCUGAAGAUGGUCCUUUGCCUCCAACCUACUCCCUUUCUCCUCCCUGCUGCCUUUCUCCUCCAUAGGUUAGAUAGUCAAAUAAACAGUCUGUUUGACUAAUAUUGUGGACACUGGAUGGCACAGCCCUAAGAGACAGUUACAUCAUGUAUCCUUCCCUGUUGCCUUCCCGCGCAUGCCCUGAUCAUGAAACAAUCACAUUAUGUCCCACCUAGGCCACGUAGGCCACGCAGCACAAUUUGCCC
ensembl:lncRNA